rnacentral:rRNA from 1 species
UACGUAGGGGGCGAGCGUUAUCCGGAUUUAUUGGGUGUAAAGGGUGUGUAGGUGGUUUAUUAAGUCUAAGAUUAAAGGCUGAGGCUCAACCUCAGUUUGUUUUAGAAACUGGUAGACUUGAGUAUAGUAGAGGUAAGUGGAAUUUCUAGUGUAGCGGUUAAAUGCGUAGAUAUUAGAAGGAACACCAGUGGCGAAGGCGGCUUACUGGGCUAUUACUGACACUGAGACACGAAAGCGUGGGGAGCAAAUAGG